rnacentral:tRNA from 1 species
GUCGGAAUGGCGGAAUGGUAGACGCAGGGGACUUAAACUCCCCCGGGAUUCCCGUGCCGGUUCGACUCCGGUUUCCGACACCC